AGAGUUUGAUCCUGGCUCAGGAUGAACGCUGGCGGCGUGCCUAACACAUGCAAGUCGAGCGAUUCUCUUUGGAGAAGAGCGGCGGACGGGUGAGUAACGCGUGGGUAACCUUCCCUGUACACACGGAUAACAUACCGAAAGGUAUGCUAAUACGGGAUAAUGUACUUUUGUCGCAUGGCAAGAGUAUCAAAGCUCCGGCGGUACAGGAUGGACCCGCGUCUGAUUAGCUAGUUGGAGAGGUAAUGGCUCACCAAGGCAACGAUCAGUAGCCGACCUGAGAGGGUGAUCGGCCACAUUGGAACUGAGACACGGUCCAAACUCCUACGGGAGGCGGCAGUGGGGAAUAUUGCACAAUGGGCGAAAGCCUGAUGCAGCAACGCCGCGUGAGCGAUGAAGGCCUUCGGGUCGUAAAGCUCUGUCCUCAAGGAAGAUAAUGACGGUACUUGAGGAGGAAGCCCCGGCUAACUACGUGCCAGCAGCCGCGGUAAUACGUAGGGGGCGAGCGUUGUCCGGAUUCAUUGGGCGUAAGGCGCGCGUAGGCGGCUUCGCAAGUCGGCCGUGAAAUCUCCGGGCUCAACUCGGAGGGGUCGGGCGAGACUGCGAGGCUCGAGGUGGGCAGAGGGCAGUGGAAUUCCGGGUGUAGUGGUGGAAUGCGUAGAGAUCCGGAGGAACACCAGUGGCGAAGGCGGCUCUCUGGACUGUAACUGACACUGAGGCACGAAAGCGUGGGGAGCAAACAGGAUUAGAUACCCUGGUAGUCCACGCCGUAAACGAUGAGUACUAGGUGUCGGGGGUUACCCCCCUCGGUGCCGCAGCUAACGCAUUAAGUACUCCGCCUGGGAAGUACGCUCGCAAGAGUGAAACUCAAAGGAUUUGACGGAA
rnacentral:rRNA from 1 species